AGUGGGAUAACUGGGUCAAAUGGUGGUUCCAACCCAAGUUUUUUGAGGAAUAUCCACACUGCUUUCCAAAGUGGUUGCACCAAUUUGCAGUCCCACCAACAAU
rnacentral:pre_miRNA from 1 species